UGCGAAGGGGGCUAGCGUUGCUCGGAAUUACUGGGCGUAAAGGGCGCGUAGGCGGCGCUGCAAGUCAGGCGUGAAAUUCCUGGGCUUAACCUGGGGACUGCGCUUGAGACUGUGGAGCUAGAGGUCAGAAGAGGGUCGUGGAAUUCCCAGUGUAGAGGUGAAAUUCGUAGAUAUUCGCAAGAACACCAGUGGCGAAGGCGGCUUACUGGUCCGGUUCUGACGCUGAGGCGCGAAAGCGUGGGGAGCAAACAGG
rnacentral:rRNA from 1 species